rnacentral:rRNA from 1 species
AUUGAACGCUGGCGGCAUGCCUUACACAUGCAAGUCGAACGGCAGCGGACCUUCGGGUGCCGGCGAGUGGCGAACGGGUGAGUAAUGCAUCGGAACGUACCUUUCAGUGGGGGAUAACGUAGCGAAAGUUACGCUAAUACCGCAUAUUCUGUGAGCAGGAAAGCAGGGGAUCGCAAGACCUUGCGCUGAUUGAGCGGCCGAUGUCAGAUUAGCUAGUUGGUGAGGUAAAGGCUCACCAAGGCGACGAUCUGUAGCGGGUCUGAGAGGAUGAUCCGCCACACUGGAACUGAGACACGGCCCAGACUCCUACGGGAGGCAGCAGUGGGGAAUUUUGGACAAUGGGGGCAACCCUGAUCCAGCCAUGCCGCGUGAGUGAAGAAGGCCUUCGGGUUGUAAAGCUCUUUCGGCCGGGAAGAAAUCGCACGGGCUAAUACCCUGUGUGGAUGACGGUACCGGAAUAAGAAGCACCGGCUAACUACGUGCCAGCAGCCGCCGUAA